rnacentral:tRNA from 1 species
GCGCGGGUAGUUCAGCGGUUAGAAUACGACGUUGCCAACGUUGUGACCCGAGUUCGAGUCUCGGCCUGCGCA